rnacentral:lncRNA from 1 species
AGAGUCCUAGGUCAGAGUGUGAGUUAGAGAUCAACCUCCCUGGCACUCCCAUCCCUGACGAAGUGCCUUUUGAUCUGACCUGCCCCAUCGUCAGGAGCUCCUGCAUCGACACCAGGGUCUCUAAAAUGCCAGAGAUUUCUUCAAGUGACCUAAAGACAAAGAUGAUGGCACACACAGAUGAACCCCUGCAUCGUAACAGUCCAAUGACUGACAGCAGUCGACCACCGAGUGCUAAAGCCUCUUUUCGAUCCUCCACUCCGUCUUUCACCAGCAAGGGAACCUCUUUGGUACCAAAGGGAGAUGGGAUUGACAUUGAAGAGAAGGAGGAGUGUAUCCCCAGCAGCUCUGGCCAUCUGAGGGAGCUCUUAAUCACCCCGGACAUCAGCAGUGCCACUGCAUUCCCACUGCAGUACUUGAUGGACUCCAGCAAAGAUGAUGGCAUCUGUUUUGUCACCAUACUGGUGAUAAGGUUGCUAUCGGAGAUCAGACCCUCAGCCCUCGAUGGACCCUCCCAACAGGUAGCAGAUCUGACAGAAACAUCCCAGCAACUCAUCAGACAAGUCCUGUCUGAGUUCUGUGCUGCAUCUAGAUUCUCCAGGACACAGGCAUAUUCCCAGAACCUGAACAUCCAAAGGGUGUUCAGAGGUGUACAUAAAAACCUCAUGGAGGAGUUUGGCUCUCAUAACACCCUGCAAGCAGCUAUUUCCUCCCAGGACCCUGCAUUUGACAGAGUCCUGGUAAAGUCCUUGACCCAGCAGCUGGUACAGGGAUGCAAGGAGGCGUCAAGACCAGCUUCUGCUGCAACAAACCCAUCAGACCAGGCUGAGACAGAGAGGGGGGCUGAGCAGAAAGCAAGAAGGAGCUUCCUUUGCUUUUCAAUGACCAAACUCAGGAUCAACUUCAAGCGUUCCAAGAGAGGAAACAAAAAGGACUGCCAUUCAGUCCAGGAACAGACUGAGAUUCCCUCUACUGAUGGACAUUGCAUAGGUAAGGACUUUAGAGCUCUGCUAUAGCUUGUAGUUUUGUUUAGGUGUGUGUUAGAAACAUAGGUAUGCCUACCAAACUCAUAGCACUGUUAUUUUUCAACGUUACUAUACUGCAUCUCUCUCUCUCUCUCUUACCCCAUCCAUUUCUCUUGUGUUUCUAGCUCCAGUUGGAGAGGUUUCUCCCUCCAUAUCUCAGCCUGUCAAAAAACGAUCCUUGAUUGUCAGGGUCUUUUCAGCAAUGAUGAAGCCAUUCAGGCGCUUCACCAAGAAGAACCUGUAACCUGUUACGCUGCAUGAAGAACUACUUUUGUAACAGCAAGACUUUUGACAAGAGGAAUUU